UACGUAGGGUGCAAGCGUUAAUCGGAAUUACUGGGCGUAAAGCGUGCGUAGACGGCUAUCUAAGUCGGGUGUGAAAGCCCCGGGCUCAACCUGGGAAUUGCAUUCGAGACUGAAUAGCUAGGGUACGGUAGAGGGAAGCGGAAUUUCCGGUGUAGCGGUGAAAUGCGUAGAUAUCGGAAGGAACAUCAGUGGCGAAAGCGGCUUCCUGGAC
rnacentral:rRNA from 1 species